rnacentral:rRNA from 1 species
AGCAGUGGGAGCCUCUUUAUGGGGUGACUGCGUACCUUUUGUAUAAUGGGUCAGCGACUUAUAUUCUGUAGCAAGGUUAACCGAAUAGGGGAGCCGAAGGGAAACCGAGUCUUAACUGGGCGUUAAGUUGCAGGGUAUAGACCCGAAACCCGGUGAUCUAGCCAUGGGCAGGUUGAAGGUUGGGUAACACUAACUGGAGGACCGAACCGACUAAUGUUGAAAAAUUAGCGGAUGACUUGUGGCUGGGGGUGAAAGGCCAAUCAAACCGGGAGAUAGCUGGUUCUCCCCGAAAGCUAUUUAGGUAGCGCCUCGUGAAUUCAUCUCCGGGGGUAGAGCACUGUUUCGGCAAGGGGGUCAUCCCGACUUACCAACCCGAUGCAAACUGCGAAUACCGGAGAAUGUUAUCACGGGAGACACACGGCGGGUGCUAACGUCCGUCGUGAAGAGGGAAACAACCCAGACCGCCAGCUAAGGUCCCAAAGUCAUGGUUAAGUGGGAAACGAUGUGGGAAGGCCCAGACAGCCAGGAUGUUGGCUUAGAAGCAGCCAUCAUUUAAAGAAAGCGUAAUAGCUCACUGGUCGAGUCGGCCUGCGCGGAAGAUGUAACGGGGCUAAACCAUG